rnacentral:rRNA from 1 species
CCUACGGGCAGCAGUGAGGAAUAUUGGACAAUGGGCGCAAGCCUGAUCCAGCCAUGCCGCGUGCAGGAAGACGCAUCUAUGGUGUGUAAACUGCUUUUGUACGGGAAGAAACACUCCCUCGUGAGGGAGCUUGACGGUACCGUAAGAAUAAGGAUCGGCUAACUCCGUGCCAGCAGCCGCGGUAAUACGGAGGAUCCAAGCGUUAUCCGGAAUCAUUGGGUUUAAAGGGUCCGUAGGCGGUUUAAUAAGUCAGUGGUGAAAGCCCAUCGCUCAACGAUGGAACGGCCAUUGAUACUGUUAGACUUGAAUUACUAGGAAGUAACUAGAAUAUGUAGUGUAGCGGUGAAAUGCUUAGAUAUUACAUGGAAUACCAAUUGCGAAGGCAGGUUACUACUAGUGGAUUGACGCUGAUGGACGAAAGCGUGGGGAGCGAACAGGGAUUAGAUACCCUGGUAGUCCACGCCGUAAACGAUGGAUACUAGNUGUGGUGCAGUCUAGUGCGUAGAGAAGUAGAGUAGUAGUACCGACCGUACGGGAGGUACGUUCGCGAAGUAAGUAGUUAACGUUACGUAAGUUAGUUAAGUUAGUUACGGCGUUGAGAGNGCGACGGACGACGACGAGGGAGGAGG